rnacentral:tmRNA from 1 species
GGGGGCGUCACGGUCUCGACGGGGAUUGUUGAGGUGAGGGCUGCGUGCCGAGGUUCCGACUGGGCUCGUUAAAAAAGUCGGGCUUUGAUAAGCGGAAACACCAACUACGCUUACGCCACUGCUUAAUUGACGGUGGCCGUUCCUCCAGCCUCCUCCCGUAAGGCUGGCCAGGGGCGUCGACUCUGCGGGAUAGCCGCCCGCUGAAGCUUAUAGGCGGAAGGCGAAAACUCAUAAGCUGGCGACCCGGGAAUCCUGCCGCGGGAGUCCCGGCGAGCGAGAUUCAAAACAACGGCUACGCACGUAGAUGCUCCUUGCCGAAAGUUUCCGGACGCGGGUUCGACUCCCGCCGCCUCCACCA